rnacentral:tRNA from 1 species
GGGGUUGUUGCUCAGUGGUAGAGUGCUCACCUAGCAUGUGAGAUACCCUGGGUUGGAUCCUCAGCACCA